rnacentral:rRNA from 1 species
CGCGUAGGCGGCUUCUUAAGUCAGAUGUGAAAGCCCGGGGCUUAACCCUGGAAGUGCAUUUGAAACUAAGGGGCUUGAGUAUGGGAGAGGGAAGUGGAAUUCCUGGUGUAGCGGUGAAAUGCGUAGAUAUCAGGAGGAACACCGGUGGCGAAGGCGACUUCCUGGACCAAUACUGACGCUGAGGCGCGAAGGCGUGGGGAGCAAACA